UGAGUUUGAUCCUGGCUCAGAAUGAACGCUAUUAGUAUGCUUUACACAUGCGAGUUUAACGUUAUUUUUUAAUAAUGUAGCGUACGGGUGAGUAAUCACGUAGUAAAUUUGCCUUUCGAUAAUAGUAUAAAAUAUUCAAUUUUUUAUUGUUAAAACAUACAAUAUAUGUUAUAUUAAUUACUUUUAAAAUUUAUUAUUAAUAAAUGUUGAAAGAUAAUACUGCGUAAGAUUAGGUAGUUGGUAAAUUAAUAGCUUACCAAGCCUAUGAUCUUUAGUUGAUCUUAGAGGAUGAUCAACCACACUGGAACUGAGACAAGGUCCAGGCUGAUUAUUUCGGCCAGCAGUGGGGAAUAUUGGACAAUGAACGAAAGUUUGAUCCAGCAAUACUAAGUAAAUGAUGACGGCUAUUUGGUUGUAAAAUUUUUUCAUUAAAUAGGAUAAUGACCUUUUUAAAAAAGAAGUCCCGGCUAAUCUCGUGCCAGCAGCCGCGGUAAUACGGGAGGGGCAAGCGUUAUUCGGAAUUACUGGGCGUAAAGGGUUCGUAGACUGUAUAGUAAGUUAUUAGUUAAAUCUUAAAAAAAUACUUUAAAAAAGCUAAUAAUACUGUUAUACUAGAGUUUUAGUUAGAAGAAUAGAAUUUCAUAUGAAGAGGUAAAAUUCAUAGAUAUGUGAAGGAAUAUCAUAAGUUAAAACGAUUCUUUAUUAAAAACUGACGUUGAGGAACGAAAGCAUAGGUAGCAAACAGGAUUAGAUACCCUGGUAGUCUAUGCCGUAAACUAUGAGUGCUAAAAUUUAAUAGUUACUAUUGGAUUUUAAAGUAAACACGUUAAGCACUCCGCCUGAGAAGUACGAUCGCAAGAUUAAAACUCAAAGGAAUUGACGGGGGCCUACUAUAAGUGGUGGAGCAUGUGGUUUAAUGCGAUAAUCCGCGCAAAACCUUACCAGUUCUUGAAUAAAUAGUUUUAAAAUAAGAUAAAAUAUUUUAUUUUUAUUAUAUAUUUACAGGUGUUGCACGACUGUCGUCAGUUCAUGUCGUGAGAUUUUUGGUUCAUUCCUUUAAAUGGGCGUAACUCUUGUCUAUUAGAUAAACUGCUGUUUAUCAAAAUAACAGUUUUUUAGAUAUUAACAUCGAUAAGGUGUUUGAAAGCGAGAAUUAAGUCAAGUCACUGUGGCCUUUAUGAACUGGGCUACACACGUGCUACAAUGGGAAACACAAAAAGUUACAAUAAUAUAUCAUUUGAGUUAUUCUUUAAAAUUUCUCUUAGUUCGGAUUGUAGACUGAAACUCGUUUACAUGAAGUUGGAAUCACUAGUAAUCGCAAAUCAGAACGUUGCGGUGAAUAUAUGUCUUGGUCUUGUACACACCGCCCGUCACAUGCGGGGAAUUGGUUUUAUUUGAAG
rnacentral:rRNA from 1 species